GGGAGUAUAGCUCAAUGGGAGAGCACACGAUUGAAGCUCGUGCCAUGGGGGUUCGAUUCCCUCUACUCCCA
rnacentral:tRNA from 1 species